UACGUAGGGUGCAAGCGUUAAUCGGAAUUACUGGGCGUAAAGCGUGCGCAGGCGGCUAUGCAAGACAGAUGUGAAAUCCCCGGGCUCAACCUGGGAACUGCAUUUGUGACUGCAUGGCUAGAGUACGGUAGAGGGGGAUGGAAUUCCGCGUGUAGCAGUGAAAUGCGUAGAUAUGCGGAGGAACACCGAUGGCGAAGGCAAUCCCCUGGACCUGUACUGACGCUCAGGCACGAAAGCUGGGGGAGCGAACAGG
rnacentral:rRNA from 1 species